rnacentral:rRNA from 1 species
CCUUUUGUAUAAUGGGUCAGCGACUUAUAUUCUGUAGCAAGGUUAACCGAAUAGGGGAGCCGAAGGGAAACCGAGUCUUAACUGGGCGUUAAGUUGCAGGGUAUAGACCCGAAACCCGGUGAUCUAGCCAUGGGCAGGUUGAAGGUUGGGUAACACUAACUGGAGGACCGAACCGACUAAUGUUGAAAAAUUAGCGGAUGACUUGUGGCUGGGGGUGAAAGGCCAAUCAAACCGGGAGAUAGCUGGUUCUCCCCGAAAGCUAUUUAGGUAGCGCCUCGUGAAUUCAUCUCCGGGGGUAGAGCACUGUUUCGGCAAGGGGGUCAUCCCGACUUACCAACCCGAUGCAAACUGCGAAUACCGGAGAAUGUUAUCACGGGAGACACACGGCGGGUGCUAACGUCCGUCGUGAAGAGGGAAACAACCCAGACCGCCAGCUAAGGUCCCAAAGUCAUGGUUAAGUGGGAAACGAUGUGGGAAGGCCCAGACAGCCAGGAUGUUGGCUUAGAAGCAGCCAUCAUUUAAAGAAAGCGUAAUAGCUCACUGGUCGAGUCGGCCUGCGCGGAAGAUGUAACGGGGCUAAACCAUGCACCGAAGCUGCGGCAGCGACGCUUAUGCGUUGUUGGGUAGGGGAGCGUUCUGUAAGCCUGUGAAGGUGUGCUGUGAGGCAUGCUGGAGGUAUCAGAAGUGCGAAUGCUGACAUAAGUAACGAUAAAGCGGGUGAAAAGCCCGCUCGCCGGAAGACCAAGGGUUCCUGUCCAACGUUAAUCGGGGCAGGGUGAGUCGACCCCUAAGGCGAGGCCGAAAGGCGUAGUCGAUGGGAAACAGGUUAAUAUUCCUGUACUUGGUGUUACUGCGAAGGGGGGACGGAGAAGGCUAUGUUGGCCGGGCGACGGUUGUCCCGGUUUAAGCGUGUAGGCUGGUUUUCCAGGCAAAUCCGGAAAAUCAAGGCUGAGGCGUGAUGACGAGGCACUACGGUGCUGAAGCAACAAAUGCCCUGCUUCCAGGAAAAGCCUCUAAGCAUCAGGUAACAUCAAAUCGUACCCCAAACCGACACAGGUGGUCAGGUAGAGAAUACCAAGGCGCUUGAGAGAACUCGGGUGAAGGAACUAGGCAAAAUGGUGCCGUAACUUCGGGAGAA